GUCAUUCCGAGGUUGCUUAUGACUCCUAUAGUUCAAGCCGAGCCACCAGCUUGAUAUUUAUUCCUUGUUCUGCGAGAUGUUUCAACAUAUGAAAUGUUGCACUACGACUAUACUUAUCUUCAGAGAGCUUGUUACGCCUCUGCUUAGCCACAACGUGGUUCUGUUAAGAGAGAGGACUUAUAUUAUCUCUUGCAGGGAUGAGCUAUCUACCAUGCAAGGACGUCAGGUGCCACGACGUUGGGAAGACCCACCUCAUUACAAACAAAAAUGGAACCUUUCAUGGAUGGAUCAAAUACCGUGGAAGAUGCCUUUGCACAGAAGAGUAAACCCCUUGCAAAGAGGUCAAAAAUCAAAUGAUAUAUAUGAUAUAUGAUGAGCCAAAGAGCUCUAGAGAGUAUGAGAAACCACAACUUCAGAAAAUAUAAAAAGCUAAAGAGCUUCAGGAAAAGUGACGAGCCAAAGAGCUCCAAAAUGGCAUACCAGGCCAAAGAGCUUCGAAAAAUAGGGACCUCGGUUCCCUUCCUUGAAAAUUCAGCAAAAUAUUAAAGAUAAACAGCUUCGGCACAUAAUUUCAGCUCCUUUAUCAACACUUCUAAGCCAAAGACUCAGAUUACUUCGGGGCUUCAGAUAACACCCACUAUAAGUGCUUGUGCCUAUUUUUAUUAAGUAAUUUCCUUUUAAAUCUCCAUUAUGUGAAUAUCUAUGCCUGAAUUUGGGGGACAAUUGUGAUUACUGUUAGCAUGCAUGUCACAUUAUUGCUAGCAUGCUUCAAGACCCAUGGCAUCAUUUUUACCAGCGCUAGUAUGCAUGACACGUUACAUACACUAUCAUCAGGCAUAUGAUCUGCUAUGAUAUAUGAUAGUUUUCUUGCAUAUUAUAUCUUGAGAAAAUGUGAUAUGUCAUUUAUGAGUAUUCGGAGGGGCAAAAUGGAGCUGUGCUAAUUUGACAUAUGUGUAGUAAAUAUAUUGUUUUGUGUUGUAGCAUUGGUUUAAUCCACAUUACAAAGGAGAUGCUACCGAAAUUUUGAUAGAAUGUAUGACAUUUCCCGAAGCAUAUCAGUGAAGAAGAAAGUAGGCCAAGAGAGGCACUUCAACAAAAAGAGUUGGAACUCGAAGAGGUCCACCUCAGAAAUGAAAUUAGCCCAAGAGGCACUUCUAUGAAAGUAGACCAAGGGAGGCACUUCAACAAAAAGAGUUGGACCCCGACGAGGACCACUCGAAAAUAAAAGCGAACAGAAUGUAUCACAAAGGUAGGAACAAAGAAAGUUUGACCCGCAUAUGAAUGAUACAACUUAGGCUUGGGAGACUAUAUGUUAUAUCCUUAAAUCACUUCACAUUGGGCCUUAUUAUUAGACUCGGACAAAGCCCAUUAUAGUUGGACAACAUAGGCCCAAGAGGCAGCCAAGUAGAAGCCUAAGC
rnacentral:lncRNA from 1 species